rnacentral:misc_RNA from 1 species
UAAUCUCUCACUUCCCUUCGGGUGAAGUGGAUUUGGACCGUGCUGUCGACUCGUUCGUACGGCUCGUCCCGAAAUGCAUUGUGCCUGCAGAGUCUUGCGCGGAGCGAGGCUGACGAAACGGUGUGAUAUUUACUAUCUGCGCUGAAGUAGUCGGUUUCGAGCUGCUGCACCAGGAGCGCUCUGGGCUUUAUGACGAGGGUCUCGUGGCUUCGUGCCGCCUGGCCCCCACAUCUUCUUUGC